AGGGCCAUAGCUCAGUUGGUUAGAGCGCCACGUUGACAUCGUGGAGGUUGGCGGUUCAAAUCCACCUAGUCCUACCA
rnacentral:tRNA from 5 species